UGGAGGGAGGUAUCUUA
rnacentral:rRNA from 1 species